rnacentral:lncRNA from 1 species
AGAAGAUUAAAAAUCUGAUUUAAUAGGUUUCGGAGUGUCCUGGCUGAUUGGUCGUCCUGAGUGAAUGGUUUCUCAUGUCUUUGCUAAUUUUCUGGAUGCUCUCAAAGGAAGUUAAUUAACCUGAGGCCUCCAUCCAGCUGUGCUCCAAUUCAACUGAUCUUGAGGUAUGCCUGUCAGGAAGAGAAUUAUAACAUGUGCUGGGAAUACAGUGAAGAACAAAAGUGAAACAGUUUCUGCUCUCAUACAGAGAUUACAUUUCUUAAGGAAGUCAGGCCUUUGGAAUGCAGUAGACAAAUGGCCAUGAGAGAAAAAACAUAUA